GUCCGUCUCUACAUAAAGACCUUAUUUUCUUGGACAGACUCGAUAAUUACAGUGGCGAUAAUGAAAUGUAAUUUUCUCUCAACAUUGAAGCAAUAGUUUCGGAACACUUAAAAAACAACUUCCAAGUUCUUCAUUCAACAAAUGACCUCUUUGCUUCUUGCAGUGCCAAGUUUAUGAAGCCCUCUUUCCUCUUUUAGAUGAUUGUGUGGAGACAUCUUACUUCUUCACAGCGCUAGCAAAUCUUGCAGGGCUGAAUCGGCUAAGAUCAACUAUGCUAGCACGUCCAUCCAAAAUGAGUUCGGCCAUAGCUGCACCAGUGGCAGGACCAUUGAGAAUUCCCCAACAGCUAUGUCCAGUGGCGACAUAACAGCCUUCUACACCAGGAACUUCUCCGAUAAUUGGCACAUCAUCUUCGCUGCAAGGUAAGAUGCAUGCUUGUUCAGCCUUCACAGUCGCUUCCCCUUCAACUAAAUGGCUUGACACACUAGAAGCCACUCUCUUAAGCGUGUUUAUUGAUUCGGGAACUGGAGUUAUCUGCUCUGGAUCGUCUGGAACCUCUGCUUGAGCUGACAUUCCACAUAUAUAAACUUCCCCUGUCGGACGAGGAUAUACUUCCGGGUCCAUGGGCUUUCCACCUUGGGCUGGAUAAUAAGUGAGAAAGAGUGCAUGUGGCGUGAUCCUAUUGGCUUCUUUCGGUUCCAGUACAAUACUAUGGGCUUUAAUUCCAUAAACCCUAAAAAGCGAGCCCAAAAUAGAAAACCUCUUACUCCAAGGCCCAACUGCCAACACAAUUGCUGCAGCAUCAAUCUCUCUUCCAUCUUCUAGUACAACUCCUCUCGUUUUUCCCUCCGCCAUUUCCACUCUCUCCACUUUACCAAUCACAAGCUCAACUCCAUAAUCCUCCAUCGCUUUUGACAGUAGCCUUUUCGUAAACAUCUCUGGAUGGACUUGGGCCGUACUGUCAGUUGAUCCAAUUGUUCGUGGGCUUUUAGCUGGGCCAUCAACCCAAGACGGAAUCGGCCCGGUUCGAUUCGACGAUGAAGAUGAUGAUUCGGUGAUGGAGACACUUAGAGUAGUGAGUGGACGAUAUCCGUAGGAUUCUGAUCCAUUAAGCUCUUGAGCGAGUGAGCGGUGUAGAUUGAAGCUGGCGCGUGCGAGAGACGCGACAGGACCGCCGUCGCACCAAUCUAGAGCGAGGAAACCACCGGCUUUACCGGAGGCGGCGCAGGCGACGGAGGAUUGUUCGAUUAGAGUUACGGAUGCGCCGUUUUUGGAUAGGAAGUAGGCGGUGCAAACUCCGAUUACUCCGCCGCCGCAGACAGCUACCUUUUUCGGUUGUGGAUUGGUGUCCAUUGGCUGUGACGAUGAAGAUCGUAUUAGGAAGAAUGACGGGGAUUUUAGAUGUGGGGAAUUUUUGGGGACUGAAAUGAACGGAAAUGGAAGCAGAGGGGUUAACAACAUUCU
rnacentral:misc_RNA from 1 species